rnacentral:lncRNA from 1 species
GUUGUCAUGGAGCUUUUGUGACCCAGCUGCUUCAAACACAUCGCAAGACCAUCAACAGCUAUUUAGACUCUCAAAAUCGAGCACCGGAGAGCUGCCGGGAAGCACAUUUCUUAAGAGAGUUAACAGAACAUCUCCGGAGAAGUGGGCAAGGCAGGCGUAGGCGGAACACAAACACACACAGACAUUCCCGAUUUCUGUCCCAGGAGGGAUGCCGCCAGGAUGUCUGGAACCUUCCACGUCACCAUCCAUAUGUAAACUGGCACAUCUUCUCUUGCCUUUGCAUGCUGCAGCCUGAACUCCAUCCUUCAGCUUCCACACGUCUAUUAAAGCCAACCCCGGUUUCAUCCUCAAAACUGGUCUGAAGCUCCACAGUAUCUGCAGGUAUUUGCAUCCUGCCACCUUCUUGAGGCCCGGCCUUCCCUCUUCCCAACCAUUUAAUCCAAGUAGGCAAAGAUGAAGAAGCUAAGGGUUUAGGGCGGAAUGGCGUCCGGGCAGUGUCCAGGGCCAGCCUUAACUAGGAGGAGAACUUUAAGUUCCUGAAGUCAAGGACCAACACAAGGAAGAACUUGCUGAGCAGAGAUGGUCCUAGAGCCUCCAGACAUAAGGCAUAGGCAAAGUCCUCCAGAACUGUGCACUUGAAGGUGGAUGGAGGAUGAGAAAGGAGCGAUGCUUGCGGAAGAGACUGAUUGUAGAUGCUAGGGGGAGAGGUUGGACAGAGAGAAAGGGUAGGGCUGUGGAGAUGGCUCAGCCAACAAAAGCUUGCUAUGUAAGUAUGAGAGCCUGACUUUGAACCCUAGAAUCCUGUAGAAAAGCUGAGCUCAGUGGCUUGUUAUCCUAAUCCCAGUGCUGGUGAGGUAAAGCAGGCAAACUCCCGAGACUCACUGGAUAUCUCACCUAGCCAAACUAGCAAGAUCCGAGCCAGUGAGACUCAGUCUCACUCCCCACCCCCCACAUCCCAACAUGGCGUGUGUCUUGAGGAAUGAUACUCAAGGUUGCUUUCUGAUAUCACAUCCAUAUGUGCACAUGUAGAGACACACAAACAUACACACAUACACACAGGCACAUAAGCAAACACAUACACAGAAUGGAAUGCACUAGGUUAGAGGCAGAGUGAGCUUAAAUAUGAAUUUUGAACUGGGCACCCAACUGGCAAAUGGCUUUGUGUUUUCUUCAGUGGCUCUCAGAUAGAGUCAGAGCUCCAGUGGAUAUGUUGACAGCUUUCCCCUUUGGCCGGAUGCUGGAAUUCAGGACAUGUCCCCAUAGUAGACUGUUCUUUCUAUGAGCUUGGAAUUGAGUCAUGGCCCACUCGCUUGCUCAUCUGUGAGGCUUGAAGAAGCCAGGUAACAGUGCGUGGUGGGGCAGGCAUUAGCUGGGUGACUUGGGCAUUAAACAGAAGCUGGCUCAGGAGUUUAAAACAGCUCUGCUUGGAAGAUAAACAAGAAGCACUAAAGACACUCACUUGGGGAAAAAGCUGCCAACUGAGGCUUCAUAAUUCACUUCUACCUAUGAGGUUCAAGUACCAUCAAGUCUGAAAUUACUUGCAAAGCUUCUACCCUGGAUUUACUUUCUAUAUAAAACAACACUUCACAGAGUAAGUUAGGAGAUGCCACUGAGACCAGUGAUGUGUUUCCAGAGGGAGAUUCUGCCAACGAAUCGGCAACACUAAUUUUUUUUUUUAACAUUCUCUGGGAAAAUAUAACAAUUUAGUAUGUUUGUAAAACUGGAUAAGCACCAGUGAUGUUGUCUUUAACCUU